GAAAAACCAGAAAAGAAAUGG
rnacentral:rRNA from 3 species